AGUCUGACGGAGCAACGCCGCGUGAGUGAUGAAGGUUUUCGGAUCGUAAAACUCUGUUGUUAGGGAAGAACAAGUAUCGGAGUAACUGCCGGUACCUUGACGGUACCUAACCAGAAAGCCACGGCUAACUACGUGCCAGCAGCCGCGGUAAUACGUAGGUGGCAAGCGUUGUCCGGAAUUAUUGGGCGUAAAGCGCGCGCAGGUGGUCUCUUAAGUCUGAUGUGAAAGCCCCCGGCUCAACCGGGGAGGGUCAUUGGAAACUGGGAGACUUGAGUGCAGGAGAGAAGAGUGGAAUUCCACGUGUAGCGGUGAAAUGCGUAGAGAUGUGGAGGAACACCAGUGGCGAAGGCGACUCUUUGGCCUGUAACUGACACUGAGGCGCGAAAGCGUGGGGAGCAAACAGGAUUAGAUACCCUGGUAGUCCACGCCGUAAACGAUGAGUGCUAAGUGUUAGAGGGUUUCCGCCCUUUAGUGCUGCAGCAAACGCAUUAAGCACUCCGCCUGG
rnacentral:rRNA from 1 species